CAGUGGGGAAUAUUGCACAAUGGGCGCAAGCCUGAUGCAGCCAUGCCGCGUGUAUGAAGAAGGCCUUCGGGUUGUAAAGUACUUUCAGCGAGGAGGAAGGUGUUGAGGUUAAUAACCUCAGCAAUUGACGUUACUCGCAG
rnacentral:rRNA from 1 species